rnacentral:lncRNA from 1 species
GAUAGAGUUAGUUUUUAUAAUUCAUUUGUGUGUGUAUGUGUGUGUGUUUAUGUGUAUAAAUUUAUAUACAUACACAUGUACGUACAUGUAAUUAUUUGUUUUUGUCUCUGCCUUUCAUUGCACAAUGCUGGCCAAUUUUCAUUUCUUUUUAAUUGAAAUAAAUGUAAUGAACUCCAUUCAAUGUCUUUCUUUUGUAGCAUUUCUUGGUUGAUUCUUUGUUUAUUUGUUUUUAAUGAACUCCUAAUGAUAUUACUUUGUCUUUAAACAUGUUAACUACUAUAAGUAUCUUUCCUUUUCAAAGAGAUAAAAAAAUUGGUUUUGUAUUAUAAACAAGAAUCUAACAAGCAUACUCAAAUAUUUUGUCGAAUUGCCAGGUUUUGAAGCAAUCAUCGUUUGAAGUUGUUUUAAACAUUGACAUAUUAUUGAUCCAAAUAAACACUAUCACAAUGUAUAUAACAAUGCAAAAUUGUAGAA